CCAGGAGCUGUGUGUGUCUGUGUGUCUGUCUACCUGGCAAGGAGAUAUGGCCCCCAUCAGACUGGAGCUCCACAGAGCAGGUCAAGCGAUUCUCCUGCCUCGGCCUCCCAAGGAACUGGAACCACAGGCGCGCGCCACUGCGCCCAAGGAUUUUCACUUUUAACUGUACAGUGAAGCACAGACUUCUGAGCCAGACUGCUUGGUCUGAACUCUGGUGUCACCACUUAGUAAGUUCUGGUUUGAAUGUACUCACUGAGUGGUCUUCAUAAAUUACCUCUCUGCAAAACAACAACAACAACAACAGAAGAGAAAACCCAAAAGAGUGAAAAAUAAGAAAGAAAAAAAAA
rnacentral:lncRNA from 10 species